rnacentral:rRNA from 1 species
CCUACGGGUGGCUGCAGUGGGGAAUAUUGGACAAUGGGCGAAAGCCUGAUCCAGCCAUGCCGCGUGUGUGAAGAAGGCCUUCGGGUUGUAAAGCACUUUCAGUGGGGAAGAAAGCCUUGGGGCUAAUACCCUCGAGGAAGGACAUCACCCACAGAAGAAGCACCGGCUAACUCCGUGCCAGCAGCCGCGGUAAUACGGAGGGUGCGAGCGUUAAUCGGAAUUACUGGGCGUAAAGCGCGCGUAGGCGGUCUGAUAAGCCGGUUGUGAAAGCCCCGGGCUCAACCUGGGAACGGCAUCCGGAACUGUCAGGCUAGAGUGCAGGGGAGGAAGGUAGAAUUCCCGGUGUAGCGGUGAAAUGCGUAGAGAUCGGGAGGAAUACCAGUGGCGAAGGCGGCCUUCUGGACUGACACUGACGCUGAGGUGCGAAAGCGUGGGUAGCAAACAGGAUUAGAUACCCCUGUAGUC